AUAAUACUCACACUCUCUAAUUAGAUUUAGAGAGCGGUGGACUUGGGUGUUGCCUGGUAGUUUACUGUCAGGCUCAUCUGAAAUGGAUUAGUGCAAAGUCCUAGUUAACCAUACCAGCGUAACCCGCAACCCCCUUAUGCUGUUUUCUGUGUGAUUAGGGUGCUCUGUACUUUUAGUUGUCUUCGGACAAUAUUUAGUG
rnacentral:misc_RNA from 1 species